ensembl:antisense 4930500F10Rik RIKEN cDNA 4930500F10 gene
GAAGCCGGCCAGGCAAGGUGCCAGGGUCCCUCUCUGUUUGGGCUCCUCUCCAACUCCUGGGACUGUGUCUCAGGCCUACGCUGCCGGAGCCAGGAGCGCAGGGCGGUGGACGGGGCCUUCUUUGCUGCAUGGAUGGAUGGCCCAAGAAUAUAAUGGCCCAGGAGAAGAUGCGCUAAGAGGCUGCGGACACUGGUUUGAAGAAGCAGCCACAGAAGGGAGCCAGUGGCGGCACGUUCUUGUCGGAAUUGAAGAAAAGAGGGAUCGAUUGGAGGAAAUGGCUAGAUGAAGCUCAUAGCUCCACAGUUCUAGUCACUCAGAUGGCGAGGGUGUCAUGGCAGCGCGGGGCCUGACACAGGAUUGAACAGCUAUAAGUUAUUGCUCUGGGUUUUAUUUUGAGACAAGGUCACAUGUAGUCAAGCCAUCCUGACCUCAAAGUUUCAAUGUAGCCAACCUUAGAGUUAUCCUGUCUCUGCCUCCCCAGUCCUGGGAUUGCAGGUAGGAGCCGCCACACCUAGAGGAUACAACACUGAGUAUUGAAUCCAGGGUCUUCUGCGUGCUUGGCAAAGACUCCCCAAAUUGAGCUGCAUCCCUGACCCUGUUUUUGUUGUUUUGUUGAGUCAGGGUCUUGCAUUGGUGGGCCAGGGUGGCCUCCAACUUUGGUACGUUUUCCUGCUUCUGUUUCAAAUGCUGGGAUUAUAACAUGCGGCACAACUCUUAAUUAGCUCUUGGUUUGGUUUGGUUUUUAUAUGGAGCAUUGUCCAAAGUCCUUGCUGGUUGUGACGCACAAGCUGAAAAGGAUGUAGAACAAGGCAUCCUGGGUUAAUCCAAAAGAGGAGAGGAGAAGGACCCCUGACCCAAAUCAUCAUGGCCAGAUUUAUAAAAGCAAGCGAGCAACUGAAGCAAGCUUUUCUUAUUCUUGUACCCAGGCUGCCUUCCCCUAAGGCAGGGUUUGAGAGGUCAGCACUGGACAUGAGGAAGAUGAGGUGUUUAUAGCUCAGGGGUGGGGUGUUUCCAAAUGGGGAAUUUGGUGGGCGAAAUAGGUUGGAUUAGAGGGACAGAACAUAAGCAUACAAGUUAGUCAUAAGGAUCUCCUGAAACACAGACAUGAUUGCGAGGUGGUCAUAAGGUAGUCAUGACAACAGAGACACACAGCCACCUUUUGAAACAAAGGUGGAGUUGCCCGACGGUUAUAACUUUUUGAAACAAAGACCUGGUUGCCAUUU